ensembl:lncRNA
AUGGAGUAAGUAUAUAGUUGACUGAGAAAUACCUUUACUUCUGUGUGCUCUUCAAAUACUGUUUCAAAAACAGUGAAAAAUAAGAGGGAAGCAGAUGCAUUCUGUUUCAGCACGUGUUCAGUUUUUGUCUGGUGCUGUAGACAAAAACCUGGAACCUGGUGCUUAGAAAAACACCUUCUUUCGCAACCCACAGCUGAUGCAUGUAUUGGCUGUGUUACUUAUAUGAAGGGACAGUGCUUAUAUUUAUUCAAGCAGUAAUUAAUUCAAAGGGCUCAUUUCUUAUUGCAUGUGCAGAAAUGUAGGAAGGAAACAAUGCAACUGGACUACAUCUUUUCUAGCUCUGCAGCAAUGAGCUAUUGUAACCGUUUUGAUCUGUUUGAAUUCUUCCAGCUGGUGCACAGAUCUGUUACUUCCAUGCGCUCCUGUGGAAUACACUGGUUAAGGAGCAAGCCCACGUGACAGUGCAGACCAGAGGAGUGCCUUAGUGGCAGGUGAUGAGGAAAUGAGAGAAGAAAUGCAGAAAGCCACUUGACAGAGACAGGAGCUCCCUUAUAGGUUAGUAUGCCAUCUGAGCUUCUGCAAAUGCAUUGGUGUUUGAGGGGCUCUGGUUUUCAGUGGCUGGAGCUGUUCACCUGAUGAAGCUCAGUGCCUUUGGGAGUGUUACAGGGACAGAGCUCAAUGUUAUGUCAGUAUAUUUUAAGGUAGUGUUCCCUUUCAGUCUGUAAGUCUUUAACUUUGAUAUAUCCCAAGAAAGAUCUCACAGUCUGAAAUGAUGAGCUUAACUUGCCAAACUUGGGCUUUACUUUAAAAGUAAAUGAGUACUUAGAGAAGUUAGUGUUUGAAUAAACAUUGUAGUUAAUUCUCUCAGUUUUAUAUUGUUCAUGUAAUGUUAGCUUUUAACAUGAAACUGUUGCUGAUGUGGAGUUACUGCUGCAUCUUCCAAAUGAAAUGGUAGUGUAACAUUUCCCUCCCUUUUCCCCCAAAAGUCAUGACAGAAGAAGGAACUUUAUAGGAACUGUAUGAGAUGCUUUUCCAGUCUGCUUGAUUUUUGUUGCAUUAGUUUAUGGUCACAGAAAUGUUGAGGUCUAUCCCGAUAGGAUCUCUUCUGUAGGUUCAUGUCGUUGGAAACGCCUCACAGAACAAACUUGUGGUUUAGUUUUACCCUUGGAGCUACCUGUUAGCUCUGUGGGAUAGAACUACAAGACAAAUCUUCAUGUCCCAUUUCAGGAAUGGAAGUAACAUGUCAUGUUCUCCCUCAGGUACUGGCUCAUGCAUUUGAUAUAAAUGGAAAAAAAAAGAUUCAAAUGGAAAAGCUUGGUAAGAGUGAAAAAGAGCAUGUUCUGAGAUUUAAAAUGUAACUAACAUGUUUAAUUGUGUGGGUUGAACUUGCUCUUCAGCCAGAUGUCUGUGAAGGUACCAGACCUCUUAGUGGCUUUUUUUUUUCCUGGUUGGCUUGAAGCAGACUCUUCCCACUUCAAUCUGAAAGUGACUUUCUGUUCCUUGUGGUGGCUAUAGGUUUAAAUUAAGAAGUCCAGCCCUCUGAUGUCUGUCCAGUCUUAAAGUAAUUCAAUGAGCCUGCCGGAUUUUUGCUCUAUGUAAUUCAGCAAUACUGCUUUUCUCCUGCUAAGCUUCAAAGUAGCUGAGCAUCUCAGGCAGUUUACUAGUACAGUGUCAGAAGUCCUGGGUUGUAUGGAGCAUUGUGCUAUUCUAUAGAACAUAGCUUAAAGUAAAACGCAGACAAUGCUUCUAUAAGCCCUUUGUGCUGGGAAUAUAAAUACUUGAAAGAAUUACGAGGCUGCUGAAAUUGAUGGAAUUUCUUUUCCCUCUUCGUUGCAUGGCAACUUCUGUGAAAUUGGUACUUCAGCUUAUCGCUGCCUGGUGUAUGGACAGCUUGAACCUUAACGUGCAUUUGUUGACUGAGGACUGCUGCGUCUGUUGCACUGAAUGGUAUCUGCACCCAGCAGCGUUCUUCUGAUGGGGUGUUCAAAAACCAGUGCUACAGUAAUUCAGCAUUUGGCAUCGUUGGUUUUCACUCUGCAGUGGUUGUUAAACCUGGUAUUCUUGCUGAUACAGGUGCUGCCCUCUUCAAGGAUUUGAGCGCAGUCCUUUUAUGUCGGGUAGGACUUGUCAGUGUGAGCUGCCCACUGGUUCUCCCUCGUGCUCAGUUUGUUUCUUUAAAACAGGUGCCUUGGGAUACACAACAGUCAGUUGGCUGUGGAAGAGGAAACAAAGUGUUGGACAGAGUCCGCUGCUGUCACUGAAUGUCAGGGGGUGAGAAGUUGUACCUGAGUGCUGCCACAGUAAGUCUGUAGGUCCUGAUGUGAUGUUGCUGCAAGUCUCUUGCAAGAAAGAAAAGGACAGCUCUUAAAUGCUCUUAAACACUCCUAUUUCUUGUAAUAAUUGAGAAUGUUAAAUAUUUUAACUUCACUGCCCUGUAAGUUGGAGUAGUGGAUCAAGGUGUGGUUGUACUAGGAAAGGGUUAUCAACUGUGUUCCAACUGUUCAAGUGUGGAGAGGGGGCUGUUUACUUCAUACAGAAUGUAACAUUCAAAUAAAACUGAUGACUGAAAGAAGCAGCUGCAGCCAGGGAAUUAUUUUGUACUGCUACACUGCAAGCCAACACAGGUGUAAAGCUAAAGCAGGGAUUUAGCUUUAGCUAAAUCUUAAAUGCUAAAGCCUCUAGAAAAACAGACAGUAAAGGUGAGAGAGCCUGCACACUGCAACUAGCCCUCUUCCUUCAGCUCUUUGUCCUGUACUGUUUGUUUAGGGGGAGUUGUAACAGUUUGGGUCUCUUCAGCAAUUGCAGUACCUCUAACUACAGUGGGGACUGAAAUGUAUGUUUAAUUAUUCUA